GGGGGGGGGGGGGGGGGGGGGGGAGACGUGCGAGUGGGGGGGGAGGGUGGGGGGGGCUGGGGGCCGCUGAGGGCGAGCGGGGGACGGGCGAGGAGCGCGUAGGCGCCCUGCCCUGCACCACGGGGUAACCCGGCGAGGGGCGGACGAGUUCCGUCGGGGGUCCAUUGACGGCACCCGGAGUGGACGCACCGCCUGGCGGAGGAGGACGGGGGAUGCGUCCGAUUGGGUUGACGGCGGGGUAACGGCCCACCGUGGCUACGAUCGGUAGGGGUUCUGAGAGGAAGGUCCCCCACACUGGAACUGAGACACGGUCCAGACUCCUACGGGAGGCAGCAGUGAGGAAUAUUGGUCAAUGGGCGUAAGCCUGAACCAGCCAAGUAGCGUGCAGGAUGACGGCCCUAUGGGUUGUAAACUGCUUUUAUGCGGGGAUAAAGUGGCCCACGUGUGGGCUUUUGCAGGUACCGCAUGAAUAAGGACCGGCUAAUUCCGUG
rnacentral:rRNA from 1 species